rnacentral:rRNA from 1 species
UACGUAGGGGGCAAGCGUUGUCCGGAAUCAUUGGGCGUAAAGCGCGCGUAGGCGGCCCUGUAAGUCCGUUGUGAAAGUCAAAGGCUCAACCUUUGAAAGCCGAUGGAUACUGCAGGGCUAGAGUCCGGAAGAGGAGAGUGGAAUUCCUGGUGUAGCGGUGAAAUGCGCAGAUAUCAGGAAGAACACCCGUGGCUAAGGCGGCUCUCUAGUACGGUACUGACGCUGAGACGCGAAAGCGUGGGGAGCGAACAGG